UGGGGGCAGCGAGACGCGGUGGAGCAGCGGGAUGCGGCAGUGCUGGGCAGGGCUGGCGGGACUGGCCGCGGUGAUCCUUGUGGCUGUGAGCAGAGCCCAGGUGCAGCAGGAGCCGUCGGCAGAGACCAGAGAGGGCACCGGCAUCGGCAUCACCUGCUCACGCACCAACAUACAGUCUUAUAUAUACUGGUACCGUCAGUUCCCAGGCCAAGGCCUCGCAUUCAUCGCCAGCGCCUUCCAAGGCGCCAAGGAGGUGGUGGAACCGGCGGGGCGGCUGUCGGUGUCGGCAGACCGCCGCUCCAGCACCUUGUGGCUCUCCCGUCCCCGACUCACGGACGCGGCGGUGUAUUACUGCGCCGUGGACCCACGGGAAGCGAAGCCGGGGCUGCGGCCGGGCACGAACUGCGGCGGGCGGCGCAGUUCGACCCGCAGGGGGCGCUGCCGGUGCUGGAAAACUUUUAACAGGCCCAUUGUUCAGUGAAUGUCCCUGUAGGGAUCGUUUUCACGUUCCUGGGUUUUCUUUAGCGAUUGCUUUCCAGGAGCAUGCGCUUUUUGAACACGGUUUCGUCUUGCCCCAAACACAGCACCUUUGGUAUUGAUAUGACUUCCUGACAGUACCACAAAUAUCUGCACUUGACACUCAUUCUAAUGACCCCUUUUGGAAACUCAUUUUUUGGCACAGUGCUAAUUUAUCCUCACAGGAUCCUCAAAGAGAAGAGCACCUGUUCUCUUUGAGAAGGCAUUGAAAAUGUUCAGUUUUAGUGCUUAGCUGAGCCAGGGGGUCUCUACUACCCAUGCUGAAUCACAAGGUUAUGUGUGCCUAUACCUGACAGCUAAGUAGAAGUUGGUGGUUAGAGGUCCUUCACUACCUGAGCUGGAGAGUGUUUCUCUCCCUGUGGAGGGCUUCCUGCAGUAGCAGCUGUGCAUGGAGAUGUUUCCUUUAUAGGACUUGGUUCAUGCUCCUGGGAACAGAGAAAGUUGGAGAGAAAGUUGACACCUGGGUCUAAGUUCCUUUGUGUAUGACUGGUCAUACCUCCACCCAGACAGUCCCCAGGGAAACAGAGAAGGGCAGUAGAAGCAAUCCCUUCUCCACUGAUAGCAGCGGUAGGUGCAGUUAUCUGAGUCUGGCUGAGUUCUGUAUGGCAGGGUAGAUCACUGGGGACACUUGCUCUUUGCUGGGACUGGCUGUGAGCAUCAAGAAGGACAAAGCGAGGGAAGUACACAGGGGUCACUUUUGGUGACUUUUACCUUAUAACUAACUGAGUGACCUUCAGAACCAUCAAAUUCAGUUGUGACCUGACCACAUAAGGCAGUUGUACUUGAAGAAGGGACCUCUGUAGGUCCCUUGCAACCAUUCAUUCCAUGUAAGAAGCUCCUAGUGCUGAAAAGUCUGUGGCUGACCAUAGGUAACCCUCACCACAGGACAGAUUGAUUUGAUUUUUCUCUCGAGAGGUUUAACCACCAGUUCCUCUUGGCUAUUGAGAUCCCUAGAAGUAGCAUAGCGAGCUUUGCUCCACCCCCACUGUUGAAGUGUAGAGGCUGCUUAUAGCUGGCCGAGAGAGAAGCUGAGAACUUGCCAGCUUCAGCUCUGUCAUUCCAAGCACUGCACAGUACCCAGUGAAGGCAAAGAGUGUGACAUGGUCCUGCUUAUUCUGACAGCCUUGAUGGGACUGACAGACUUUGGUGAGAUGUGAUCUUCUGAAGGGGAAGAUUGGGGCAAGAUAACACCCCGUCAUUUCUGGAGGGGGGGAAAUAUGAGUGCUAUCUCCCUGGUAAAACUGGAAAUAUUUUCUGUAGGGAAAACAGGGCCUGCAGAUGGGUACAGUGAUUAAUCUGGCAGAUGUCAGGAGCAAUGACAGUAUGGAGAUGAAUAAGUUUCUGGCCUUUUCUGCUGCAGAUACUUAGCAGCAGAUACUUUCAUGCACUUUUCAUAGGUAUGUAUGGUGAAAGAAGGAUUGCUGCUAGGGAACAGAUCAGAACAGUAAAUAGGAGCUUGUACCCUCCUGGAUAUAUUGGAGAAAAUGCUGUUAAGAUUGUGUGGAGAUGGGUAUAAUCCUUGAUAGAGCAGGAAAGAAGGUUGAGUCCAUACAAGAACUUCAGUGUGAUUCAGGAGAAAGCAAGGACAGAAUAUGUGGGAGGAAGUAUGGAGUAAAUUUCACAGUAAGAAAUCACAAAGUGAGGUGGGACAGGAAUAACUCGUGUCUCCUACCAAAAGAGAAAUAAAGAGUUAAUACAGCUUGGGGAUGGACAGAACAGGUGGACUCAGAGCCUAGUGUGAUAAAACAGUUAAGCUGACAGCCUUGGGCAUGAGUAGUGAAAGAAAAGUGCAUGUGUACUUAGCUCAGGAUUUUACAGCCUGUGAAAAGUGAAAUGUAGAGAGGAGACAGUGAGCAGGUUGGAACAAUGACAGAUG